GGACAAGUAGGCAGCUAUCAAUUAUCCACUCUCGAGAUUCAUAUUGAUCAAUAGAUACUUGAUCAGAUGGGAGAGGCGACCAAAGGAAGCUGGUUCACUUAACCCUUUUCUCAUCAGGCCAGGAUCGAUAGCCGUUCGACCUGAGGAAAGUGCGGUCAAAUUCAGGAUUUUUUGAUAUUUUUUUAUUGUUAUAUCGAACGUUGUUAU
rnacentral:lncRNA from 1 species